rnacentral:rRNA from 1 species
UAACGAAUAUUGCGCAAUGGACGAAAGUCUGACGCAGCGACGCCGUGUGUAGGAUGAAGUCCUUCGGGAUGUAAACUACUGUCAGGGUGAAGAAAGGUGAAGGCUGUAAUGCCUGAACUUGAUCGAUCCCAGAGGAAGGCCCGGCUAACUUCGUGCCAGCUGCCGCGGUAAGACGAAGGGGCCAAGCGUUGUUCGGAAUUAUUGGGCUUAAAGCGCAUGCAGGCGGGAAGUUAAGUGUUCUGUGAAAUCCCUCGGCUUAACCGAGGACUAGCGGGGCAAACUGGCGUUCUUGAGGCAAGUAGGGGUGUAUGGAACUCUAGGUGGAGCGGUGAAAUGCGUAGAUAUCGAGAGGAACGCCAGCGGAGAAAUCGGUACACUGGGCUUGUUCUGACGCUGAGGUGCGAAAGCGUGGGUAGCGAACG